rnacentral:rRNA from 1 species
GACGAACGCUGGCGGCGUGCUUAACACAUGCAGGUCGAACGGAAAUGCCCUGCUUUUGUGGGGUGCUCGAGUGGCGAACGGGUGAGUAACACGUUAGUAACCUGCCCUUGACUUUGGGAUAACUUCAGGAAACUGGGGCUAAUACCGGAUAGGAGCUCCUGCUGCAUGGUGGGGGUUGGAAAGUUUCGGCGGUUGGGGAUGGACUCGCGGCUUAUCAGCUUGUUGGUGGGGUAGUGGCUUACCAAGGCUUUGACGGGUAGCCGGCCUGAGAGGGUGACCGGCCACAUUGGGACUGAGAUACGGCCCAGACUCCUACGGGAGGCAGCAGUGGGGAAUAUUGCACAAUGGGCGGAAGCCUGAUGCAGCAACGCCGCGUGCGGGAUGACGGCCUUCGGGUUGUAAACCGCUUUCGCCUGUGACGAAGCGUGAGUGACGGUAAUGGGUAAAGAAGCACCGGCUAACUACGUG